rnacentral:rRNA from 1 species
UACAGAGGUCUCAAGCGUUGUUCGGAUUCAUUGGGCGUAAAGGGUGCGUAGGCGGUGCGGUAAGUCGGGUGUGAAAUCUCGGGGCUUAACUCCGAAACUGCAUUCGAUACUGCCGUGCUUGAGGACUGGAGAGGAGACUGGAAUUUACGGUGUAGCGGUGAAAUGCGCAGAUAUCGGGAGGAACACCUAUGGCGAAGGCAGCUCGCUGGGACGUUACUGACGCUGAGACGCGAAAGCGUGGGGAGCAAACAGG